CCAGCCUGUAACCGUCUCCUUACAGAACUUGAAAGGGCUGCACCACUGCCGAGCUAUGGGACAGAUGGAUUUCAACAGAGUGAUGACAUUAUGGGAAGCACAUUAACCUUCUCCAAAGCAGCAACAAAAGAAAAGCAAGAUUCAAUCACUGGAAUGAAAAACUAUUUCACAAAUUCAGUGAAUGUUUUAAGUCCUCUAAAAUUUGGCAUUUUGACUUUUGGAAUUAAUGAGUAGGAAAAUUUAUUUAAAAUGAAUAUUCCCCCAAAAAGAGAAGCCAUUUGAACCCUAAACUCUCUCAUCCAACAGAGCUAGCAAAUUAGAUUUAAGAAGAAAGAUAAUUUGAUUCCUCUGAGUUUCUCUACAAGGAAACAUCAAUCAGAGUGAAAGAAGAAUACACACUUUCCAAGGAACUUCUUGCAUUUCCCUCCAGGAGGAAAGUCCAGAGAAAUAAUUGGGUCUUUUAAUCCUCCGAGAAUGGUCUCCAAUGGCUGGCACUAGGACCAAAAAUCUCAGCAACCACGGGGAGAUGGCAGUGUGAUUCAAAAUUUGGAAUUAAGAGUGCCAACUUUACCAUUUUACCAUGGAGUAAAUCAUAAUUUAAAGAAAACCAGCAGUUAAAAUAUUUCUGCAGCUAGCAACAAUUACCAGGAGAUCUGUUUCUGCAGUUACCUCUAGAUCAUCUGACCCAGGAUGGAUGGACUUAAAUAGAAUCACCAGAGGCCAAUCAAGUGCUACCUGGCUUAUUUAAAUACACUGGCUGCUUCAGACUAAUGCCUGAAAAGGGAAGUAAAAAUUUCAGACCCUAACACUGAUAAACAUUCACCCAGUAGUAAAUGAUGACUACUCGAAGGUCCAUCCUUUAUAAUCUUCAACUUAUCUUCAAAACUAGGAAAAACACUCUCUUUUGGAAUAAACAUCAUUAUUCAUUUGCACCUAAGUUUCUAAAUUCAAAUCCAUUGUUGAGUAGGAGGUCAUCUGAACUAGUUUUCCAAUCUCUGAUCUGGAACUACAACUAGGACCCCGGGGGAAGGUAACUAGUUAGCAGAAGGCCACCCUCAUCUGCUGCUGGGGACAGCUUUAUAGAAGGCCAAGAAUUUUUUAGACGCUAAAGUAUAUAGAAAGUCCUUUGGGUUAGAAACACUCCCAGGUCUUCCAAUCCAUACCCUACUUUUUCGUGUGUGUUGUUCUGUUUGAUACUUUCAGAGCUCUCAAAAUCUCGCAGACACCAAUCAACACCAUCAGUCAACCACUGUGCAGACUGCUGAAUUGGCUAACAGAUCUGGAAUUUUCCCUAGAUUCUCAGUGAAUAGCUCAUUUGUACUUCAGGAAGUAAUACAAAAUGAACUAGUUAAAAAUAAGUAUAGUUUACCUUCAAGUUUAGACAGUAACUGGAUCUAGCUUAUCCAAUUUCUGUUAGUCUUCACUUUAGUGAAUGGAUAAAAAUGGUCUGUUUUUAAUAUGUAAGAUAAACUGUAUGGACAGAGUGAUUGCAACCUAAUGCUAUUUGGUUUUAUAACUACUCAAGUUUUUAAUUAGUUUGUUGUCUUAAAUAAGUAAAUGUUCCCACUUGAAAUCUUAUUUACACCAUUUUUUGGCAUAGACUCACUUUUCCAAAGGCAUUUGAUUCUAAACAUUAAUCAAAGUUUAAUGUCAGCUAGCUGGAUAUAUAUUAUCAUAAAGUCCAAAAUAAUGAUAAUUGACAGUAUGACAUCAGAGCAACACAAAAGACACUAUUUCAAACUGGCACUUAACUAUUUAUGGAGUUGCAGCAUUAAAAGUGUUCAAACCAAAGUUAACUUUUUUUCCCUCUGCUGUUCCUAAAUACUCAGACUCAUCAAUGACAAAGGUUUGGAUUAAAAGAACAAAAGGAACCAGAGAAAAAUAAUAAUAUAAAUAAUGGUAUCCUCUCCUCAAGGGUCAUGCAGUGACUGUGGAGCUUUCCAGACAGAACUAACACACGAAGAUAAAUUAGGGGCAAAUGUCACUGGAUCUUAGUACAAAGACAAAGUACCAACCAUUCUAAAAGGGCGAAUUUGAAGUAUCUACCUAGGUGGCUCUAACCAAUAGGUGUCAAUUAACAACAUACUCUGAUUCCUGGCUUCAGUAUAGCAGCAUUUACAGGAAUGUUUCUGCUCUCUGUUGGGCCUAUCUCAUCUCUGCAGUCAGGCUUCCUCUAAUUUCUCUCAGCACUUGUUGGUAGGGUGUGUUGUGUCCAAGAACCCAGGUGUUAGAGAGGGGCUAGAUUCAAAUUCCAGUUCAGCCAUUUUUAACCUAUGUUAGAUAAAUCACCUAAUUUGUUUCAAAACCUCCAUUGCUUUAUGUAAAUAAUUAUAUAAUUGUAUUAUUAAUAAUAGCACCCACUUGACAGAUUGUUUUAAGGAAGAGGGAUAAUGUAGCAAAACCCCAAACUUAGAACCUAACGAGUGUUUGAUAAGUAGUAAUUAUUCAUUCAAUAAAUAUUUAUCUGAUAUUACCAUUAUGAGCUGCAAAGAAUCAUGAGUUGAAUAAAUUGAGUUGAAUUCCCUCCUAAUCUUCAUAUAUUUUGAACUCUUCACCGCAACAACCCCAGUAUAAAAAGAGGAAAUAUUUUAACCACCACUAAUAGGAAUAUUUUCUGACAGCCCAUACAUGUAGUCCAGCACAUGCUAUCUGUAAGUGAGGGCAUCUUAGAAUAUUUGUAUUGUCAUCUCAUCAUGAUAAUAGCUUGAAACUUGGGAAUAACCACUCUCAUUUUUCAUCUGCAGGCCCAACCUCCAUUCUCCCUGAAACUGCCUUUGCAAAAAUUAUAACUGAGAAAAUUACGAUACUAAAAGAUAUCUGACAUAACCAAUUCCAUCUUGCUUCUAAUCUCCAAGCUGUCCUUAUUCAUUUCUGGGCAUAGGCCGAACUAACUUUGAGAGGAACUUAGUUUAUAGUUUGACUUUGAAACAAAGAUGGUAACAGCCCUUUCCCGAAAUAAACCCCCUUCCUGCCUGGGGACUAGACUGCCUUUCCAGGACUAACAAAUUAGCUACAAGAUAAGAAAUUAUGGUUUAGGAGUCAUGUGGCUGGAGGCUGAAAGAUUCUAAACCUCCCAGAUUUCUCCUCGGGAUAACAUCACUGUUGUAAAACCUAACAUCGGUGCUUGAGAUAUUUUGCAGACCUUGCACUGGGUGAAUCAACCGCAACACUCACACGGAUAAACUGGCUCAUCUGAUCUUAUGAUCCUCACCCAGGAACUGACUCAGUAGAAGAGGACAGUUUUGACUCCCUGUGAUUUCAUUUCUGACCUGACCAAACAGCACUCCCCAUGUUCUCACCCCCUAUCCACCAAAUUAUCCUUAAAAACCCCAAUCCCUGAGUUUUGGGGGAGAAUGGUUUGAGCAACAAUAAAACUCUGGUCUCCCGUCCAGCCAGCUGUGUGUGAAUUAAACUCUC
rnacentral:lncRNA from 10 species